AGACGGGACCCGCACAAGCGGUGGAUGAUGUGGAUUAAUUCGAUGCAACGCGAAAACCUUUACCUACCCUUGACAUGUCCGGAAUCCCGAAGAGAUUUGGGAGUGCUCGCAGGAGAGCCGGAACACAGGUGCUGCAUGGCUGUCGUCAGCUCGUGUCGUGAGAUGUUGGGUUAAGUCCCGCAACGAGCGCAACCCUUGUCAUUAGUUGCCAUCAUUUGGUUGGGCACUCUAAUGAGACUGCCGGUGACAAACCGGAGGAAGGUGGGGAUGACGUCAAGUCCUCAUGGCCCUUAUGGGUAGGGCUUCACACGUCAUACAAUGGUCGGUACAGAGGGUUGCCAACCCGCGAGGGGGAGCUAAUCCCACAAAGCCGAUCGUAGUCCGGAUCGCAGUCUGCAACUCGACUGCGUGAAGUCGGAAUCGCUAGUAAUCGCGGAUCAGCAUGUCGCGGUGAAUACGUUCCCGGGUCUU
rnacentral:rRNA from 1 species